UAAGUAAAGUGGCGCACGGGUGAGUAACACGUGGAUAAUCUGCCUUUUUGUGGGGGAUAACCUGGGGAAACCUGGGCUAAUACCGCAUAAGCUCGAGAGAGGAAAGCCGCAAGGCGCAGGAAGAGGAGUCCGCGGUCGAUUAGCUAGUUGGUAGGGUAAAAGCCUACCAAGGCCACGAUCGAUAGCCGGCCUGAGAGGGCACACGGCCACACUGGCACUGAAACACGGGCCAG
rnacentral:rRNA from 1 species